GCUCUCAUCGUCUAGUGGUCAAGGACGAAGGCUUUUCGAGCCUUAAACCCGGGUUCAAAUCCCGGUGAGAGCG
rnacentral:tRNA from 1 species